UUUCUCCUUUAAAACCCUAUAAACAGCGCCGUCAGACUGCCUUAUUUCUUCGCUGGAGUUUCCCUCAACCGCCGCCUGUGUUUUAUUGAUUCCGACGAGCACCAGCAAGCGUCAAUGCCCGAAGGUCAAUGACAACUGCCACCGCUCCGUCCGCAUGUCGCCGACGUUCCGGGAUGAAAUCGAGCGCGCCGACCACUCUAUCGUCUUCCCCACAUCGAGCACAAUCACGUCAAUAAGUUCACCAACUCAGGGGAGAACCAGAGCACCACCAGUCCGCCACCAUCGCGCGCCUGACAGUACUGUUAAAUCCAGAUCUGAGGAUCCAUGUUAGUUCAAUAAACUGAACAGAUCGUGCGGAGUGUAACACGAAGAGCGCGAACGCCAACAACAAAUAAGGCAAGUUGAACUUUUGAUCAUAACAUAUCUAUUGCUUUUCUAUACGUGUAGUAUGAUUUUAGUACAAGUACAUGUGUAGGAUUGUUACUGAUGAAUUGUGUGCUAUUGCUAUGAAACCCGGCUUAGGAUAGCCAUAUGUUUUUAUGAUUGGAUUCAUUUGUAGUCAACCUAUGUUUGAUUGCUUGGAUAUGCUUACUUUAUAUGUGAGUGGAAUAUCAUGUCAUGGGUAUGUAUUAGUUGAAAGGUUAGUUUUGAGUUGACAAAACAAUUAUUGGAUGAAUUGAGGUGGAUAUGAAUAGUACUUGAGAAGGUUGUAGGUCGACCGACAUGGUAAGGGCUUUGAUCCUGACUUACUGACAUGUAUAGGUCGAGUGGCAUGGUAAGGGCAUGGAGCCUGACUUACUGACAUGUACUGGUAGUGAGUGGCAUGGUAAGGGCGUUGAGCCUGACUUACUGACAUGUUCACUGGUGGUGAGUGGCAUG